UACGGAGGGGACUAGCGUUGUUCGGAAUUACUGGGCGUAAAGCGCGCGUAGGCGGGCUGGUCAGUUUGGGGGUGAAAUCCGAGGCUUAACCUCGGAACUGCCUUCAAUACUGCCAGUCUUGAGUUCGGAAGAGGUGAGUGGAAUUCCUAGGUGUAGAGGUGAAAUUCAUAGAUAAUUAGGAAGAACACCAGUGGCGAAGGCGCUCACUGGUCCGAUACU
rnacentral:rRNA from 1 species